AACGUAGGAGACAAACGUUAUCCGGAGUUACUGGGCGUAAAGGGCGUGUAGGUGGUUGCGUAAGUCUGGCGUGAAAUAUCUCGGCUUAACCGAGGCAGGUCGUCGGAUACUGCGUAACUAGAGGACGGUAGAGGCGUGUGGAAUUCCGGGUGUAGUGGUGAAAUGCGUAGAGAUCCGGAGGAACACCAGUGGCGAAGGCGACACGCUGGGCCGUACCUGACACUGAUGCGCGAAAGCUCGGGGAGCGAACGGG
rnacentral:rRNA from 1 species